GACGAACGCUGGCGGCGUGCUUAACACAUGCAAGUCGAACGGUGAAGGGGCCUGCUUUUGUGGGCCCUGGAUGAGUGGCGAACGGGUGAGUAACACGUGAGUAACCUGCCCCCUUCUUCUGGAUAACCGCAUGAAAGUGUGGCUAAUACGGGAUAUUCUGGGUCUGUCGCAUGAUGGGUCUGGGAAAGAUUGCGCCUUUGGGUGUUUUUGGUGGGGGAUGGGCUCGCGGCCUAUCAGCUUGUUGGUGGGGUGAUGGCCUACCAAGGCGGUGACGGGUAGCCGGCCGGAGAGGGUGGACGGCCACACUGGGACUGAGACACGGCCCAGACUCCUACGGGAGGCAGCAGUGGGGAAUAUUGCACAAUGGGCGCAAGCCUGAUGCAGCGACGCCGCGUGAGGGAGGGAGGCCUUCGGGUUGUAAACCUCUUUCGCCAGUGAAGCAGGCCUGCUCCUUGUGGGUGGGUUGACGGUAGCUGGAUAAGAAGCGCCGGCUAACUACGUG
rnacentral:rRNA from 1 species